CACUCCCUUUAAAGAGCACGCGGAGUGUGUGUGCGGCUCUUGGGGGCUUUUCUCCCUCCUUGGGGAAAAGCCCCCAAGAGCCACACACACGCUGCACGUGGCUCUUUAAAGGGAGC